rnacentral:rRNA from 1 species
UACAGAGGUCUCAAGCGUUGUUCGGAUUCAUUGGGCGUAAAGGGUGCGUAGGCGGCGCGGUAAGUCGGGUGUGAAAUCUCGGAGCUUAACUCCGAAACUGCAUUCGAUACUGCCGUGCUUGAGGACUGGAGAGGAGACUGGAAUUUACGGUGUAGCGGUGAAAUGCGUAGAUAUCGUAAGGAAGAUCAGUGGCGAAGGCGGGUCUCUGGACAGUUCCUGACGCUGAGGCACGAAGGUCAGGGGAGCAAACGGG